rnacentral:lncRNA from 1 species
AUGGGAGCAAAAUGGGAAUCUCAAAGGACCCACGGCCAAAGCACCAAAUUUGUGACGGAACCGCGGCCCCUCCUUCCCACUGACCAUCAUAUUCAACGUGAAGUCGUGAAGACCAAACACUGCUGUAAUGUUUCAGAGUAUCAUUUGAUGAAAUUGUCUGAAUUUUCAACUGUCUACAGAGAGCCUUCUGGGUACCAGGUACUAAACUAAAUGUUCCAGAGACAGAGACCACCACCAGCACCUACGAAAGUGUCAGAGCAGAGCCCUGAGCCACGUGAGGAAGCCAGUGAUGGGGAGAGCCCUCCCGACAGAAGCAGCAGCAUGGAUUCGUGAGUCUGGGGAAAUUAGCAGGGGAUGGCAAUGGAUGAUGAGGUCAGAAAGAUGCCUGGGCCAGAUGAAGUAGGGCUGUGUUGGGGAGGGGGUCCCCAAGUCUACUCCCAGGUUCAGUGAUUCACAGGAGGACCCACAGACCCAGCAUGUGGGUCCACAGCUACGAUGUAUUACACCGAAAGGAUCCCAAGCAAAAUUAC